rnacentral:rRNA from 1 species
UACGGAGGGGGCUAGCGUUGUUCGGAAUUACUGGGCGUAAAGCGCGCGUAGGCGGAUCUGCAAGUCGGGGGUGAAAGCCCGAGGCUCAACCUCGGAACUGCCUUCGAUACUGCGGGUCUCGAGUCCGGGAGAGGUGAGUGGAAUUCCUAGUGUAGAGGUGAAAUUCGUAGAUAUUAGGAAGAACACCAGUGGCGAAGGCGGCUCACUGGCCCGGUACUGACGCUGAGGCGCGAAAGCGUGGGGGAGCAAACAGG